rnacentral:rRNA from 1 species
AGUGAACGCUGGCGGUAGGCCUAACACAUGCAAGUCGAACGGCAGCACAGUAAGAGCUUGCUCUUACGGGUGGCGAGUGGCGGACGGGUGAGGAAUACAUCGGAAUCUACUUUUUCGUGGGGGAUAACGUAGGGAAACUUACGCUAAUACCGCAUACGACCUACGGGUGAAAGCAGGGGAUCUUCGGACCUUGCGCGAUUGAAUGAGCCGAUGUCGGAUUAGCUAGUUGGCGGGGUAAAGGCCCACCAAGGCGACGAUCCGUAGCUGGUCUGAGAGGAUGAUCAGCCACACUGGAACUGAGAAACGGUCCAGACUCCUACGGGAGGCAGCAGUGGGGAAUAUUGGGCAAUGGGCGCAAGCCUGAUCCAGCCAUACCGCGUGGGUGAAGAAGGCCUUCGGGUUGUAAAGCCCUUUUGUUGGGAAAGAAAAGCAGCAGGUUAAUACCCCGCUGUUCUGACGGUACCCAAAGAAUAAGCACCGGCUAACUUCGUG